rnacentral:rRNA from 1 species
UACGUAGGGUGCGAGCGUUAAUCGGAAUUACUGGGCGUAAAGCGUGCGUAGGCGGUUCGUUAUGUCUGCUGUGAAAGCCCCGGGCUUAACCUGGGAAUGGCAGUGGAAACUGGCGGGCUUGAGUGUGGCAGAGGGGGUGGAAUUCCGCGUGUAGCAGUGAAAUGCGUAGAGAUGCGGAGGAACACCAGUGGCGAAGGCGGCUUCUGGACAUUUACUGACGCUGAGACGCGAAAGCGUGGGGAGCAAACAGGAUUGAG